rnacentral:rRNA from 1 species
UACGGAGGGUGCAAGCGUUAUCCGGAUUUACUGGGUUUAAAGGGUGCGUAGGUGGGUCUGUAAGUCAGUGGUGAAAUCUCCGGGCUUAACCCGGAAACUGCCAUUGAUACUAUAGGUCUUGAAUAUCCUGGAGGUGAGCGGAAUAUGUCAUGUAGCGGUGAAAUGCUUAGAUAUGACAUAGAACACCAAUUGCGAAGGCAGCUCACUACGGGAUUAUUGACACUGAGGUACGAAAGCGUGGGGAUCAAACAGG